CGGGUGAGUAACGCGUGAGGAACCUGCCUCAAAGAGGGGGACAACAGUUGGAAACGACUGCUAAUACCGCAUAAGCCCACGGCUCGGCAUCGAGCAGAGGGAAAAGGAGCAAUCCGCUUUGAGAUGGCCUCGCGUCCGAUUAGCUAGUUGGCGAGGUAACGGCCCACCAAGGCAACGAUCGGUAGCCGGACUGAGAGGUUGAACGGCCACAUUGGGACUGAGACACGGCCCAG
rnacentral:rRNA from 1 species